rnacentral:rRNA from 1 species
GAUGAACGCUGGCGGCGUGCCUAACACAUGCAAGUCGAGCGAAGCACUUGCGAAUGAUCCUUCGGGUGAUUUUGCUGGUGACUGAGCGGCGGACGGGUGAGUAACGCGUGGGUAACCUGCCUCAUACAGGGGGAUAACAGUUAGAAAUGACUGCUAAUACCGCAUAAGCGCACAGUACCACAUGGUACGGUGUGAAAAACUCCGGUGGUAUGAGAUGGACCCGCGUCUGAUUAGCUAGUUGGUGGGGUAACGGCCCACCAAGGCGACGAUCAGUAGCCGACCUGAGAGGGUGAUCGGCCACAUUGGGACUGAGACACGGCCCAAACUCCUACGGGAGGCAGCAGUGGGGAAUAUUGCACAAUGGGGGAAACCCUGAUGCAGCAACGCCGCGUGAGUGAAGAAGUAUUUCGGUAUGUAAAGCUCUAUCAGCAGGGAAGAAAAUGACGGUACCUGACUAAGAAGCCCCGGCUAACUACGUGCCAGCAGCCGCGGUAAUACGUAGGGGGCAAGCGUUAUCCGGAUUUACUGGGUGUAAAGGGAGCGUAGACGGCAGCGCAAGUCUGAAGUGAAAGCCCGGGGCUCAACCCCGGAAUGGCUUUGGAAACUGUGCAGCUAGAGUACCGGAGGGGUAAGCGGAAUUCCUAGUGUAGCGGUGAAAUGCGUAGAUAUUAGGAGGAACACCAGUGGCGAAGGCGGCUUACUGGACGGUAACUGACGUUGAGGCUCGAAAGCGUGGGGAGCAAACAGGAUUAGAUACCCUGGUAGUCCACGCGGUAA